AAAGCAGGUUGCAAUUACAGUGCUUUCUUUUGUUGAAAUACUGACAUUAUCCUGCUGACAGAAAAUCUGUUGAUCGUUUUUUGAUUUUGCCAUUUAGAUCAGUGGAACAAAAUAAAAGUCCAGAGUUAAAUCCACACACCUAUGGACACCU
ensembl:snoRNA